rnacentral:snRNA from 1 species
GUGCUUGCUUUGGCAGUACAUAUACUAAAAUUGGAAUGAUACAGAGAUUAGCAUCGCCCCAUGCAAGGAUGUCAUGCAAAUUCGUGAAGCCUUUCAUAUUUUU